rnacentral:rRNA from 1 species
GACGAACGCUGGCGGCGUGCUUAACACAUGCAAGUCGAACGGAAAGGCCCCUUUGGGGGUCCUCGAGUGGCGAACGGGUGAGUAACACGUGCGUAACCUGCCCUUGACUUCGGGAUAACUUCAGCAAACUGGGGCUAAUACCGGAUAGGAAUCCUUGCUGCAUGGUGGGGGUUGGAAAGCUUCGGGGGUUUUGGAUGGACUCGCGGCUUAUCAGCUUGUUGGUGGGGUAGUGGCUUACCAAGGCUUUGUCGGGUAGCCGGCCUGAGAGGGCGACCGGCCACAUUGGGACUGAGGUACGGCCCAGACUGCUACGGGAGGCAGCAGGGGGGAAUAUUGCACGAUGGGCGGAAGCCUGGUGCAGCAACGCCGCGUGCGGGAUGACUGCCUUCGGGUUGUAAACCGAUUUCAGCAGGGGCGAAGCUUGUGGUGACGGUACCUGCAGAAGAAGCACCGGCUAACUACGUG